UACGAAGGGGGCUAGCGUUGCUCGGAAUCACUGGGCGUAAAGCGCACGUAGGCGGAUUGCUAAGUCAGGGGUGAAAUCCUGGAGCUCAACUCCAGAACUGCCUUUGAUACUGGCGAUCUUGAGUCCGGGAGAGGUGAGUGGAACUGCGAGUGUAGAGGUGAAAUUCGUAGAUAUUCGCAAGAACACCAGUGGCGAAGGCGGCUCACUGGCCCGGUACUGACGCUGAGGUGCGAAAGCGUGGGGGAGCAAACAGGG
rnacentral:rRNA from 1 species